rnacentral:snRNA from 1 species
UGUUGUGUGUCUGAGGAAAUUACUGGAUUAAUGACUGGUGUCCCCUUCCUCCCUCACCACUCCAUGUGCGUCCGUCCGGAAGCAGCGUGCUCAGUCGUAGAGGACGGCCUUCCCGGAAUAGAGACGGACCAGUAUUUGGUCAAGAGUAUAUGAGUAGCUGCGCUCCUCUGCUAGAACCUCCAAACAAGCUCUCAAAAUAAUGAACUCAAAAGAAGUCCUCAAACACCUUCAGCUGACGUUUUAGGGAAGAUAACCUUGCU